UUGGGGGGAGCAGAGGGUGGCACUCAGGAGCUUAGGACACAGCCUCUGAGUGGAACCCCUGUUCCCCACAGG
rnacentral:precursor_RNA from 1 species